rnacentral:rRNA from 1 species
GGUUAAGCGACUAAGCGUACACGGUGGAUGCCCUGGCAGUCAGAGGCGAUGAAGGGCGUGCUAAUCUGCGAUAAGCGCCGGUAAGGUGAUAUGAACCGUUAUAACCGGCGAUACCCGAAUGGGGAAACCCAGUGUGAUUCGUCACACUAUCAUUAACUGAAUCCAUAGGUUAAUGAGGCGAACCGGGGGAACUGAAACAUCUAAGUACCCCGAGGAAAAGAAAUCAACCGAGAUUCCCCCAGUAGCGGCGAGCGAACGGGGAGGAGCCCAGAGCCUGAAUCAGCAUGUGUGUUAGUGGAAGCGUCUGGAAAGGCGCGCGAUACAGGGUGACAGCCCCGUACACAAAAGCGCAUGUGUUGUGAGCUCGAUGAGUAGGGCGGGACACGUGGUAUCCUGUCUGAAUAUGGGGGGACCAUCCUCCAAGGCUAAAUACUCCUGACUGACCGAUAGUGAACCAGUACCGUGAGGGAAAGGCGAAAAGAACCCCGGCGAGGGGAGUGAAAAAGAACCUGAAACCGUGUACGUACAAGCAGUGGGAGCACCCUUUGGGGUGUGACUGCGUACCUUUUGUAUAAUGGGUCAGCGACUUAUAUUCUGUAGCAAGGUUAACCGAAUAGGGGAGCCGGAGGGAAACC